ACCUGAGCUACAAUCACCCAGGAGACUCAGGAGUCAGACUGCUCUCUGCUGGACUGGAGGAUCCACACUGCAGACUGGAGAAACUCAAUGUGGAACAUGGUGGAGAGAACAGAAUGAAACCUGGGCUUAGAAAAUAUGUCUGUGAUCUCACACUGGACCCAAACACAGUAAACAGACACCUCUCUCUGUCUGAGGAGAACAGAAAGGUGACAUGGAGGACAGAGGAGCAGCCAUAUCCUGAUCACCCAGAGAGAUUUGAGGACUGGGGACAGGUGCUGUGUAGAGAGGGUCUGACUGGGCGCUGUUACUGGGAGGUAGAGUGGAGUGGGAGAGGGGCUGGUAUAGGAGUGACAUAUAAAGGAAUCAGCAGGAGAGGAAGGGGUGCCGACUGUCGUCUUGGAUACAAUGACAAGUCCUGGAGUCUGUUCUGCUAUGACAACAGUUACACUGCCUAUCACAAUAACAAUCCCUCUACCAUAGACGUCCCCUCCUCCAGCUCCCACAGAGUAGGAGUGUAUCUGGACUGGCCAGCCGGCACUCUGUCCUUCUAUAGAGCCUCCUCUGACACACUGACCCACCUGAUCACAUUCAGCUCCACAUUCACUGAGCCCCUCUAUCCAGGGAUUGGGGUUUGGUGGGAAGGCGACUCAGUGUCCCUGAAAUAAUAACAUGACACACACACACUGGACACACACACACACUGGACACACACACUGAACACACACACUGGACACACACACACACUGGACAAACACACACACACACACACACACACACACUGGACAAACAAAAGCACACACACGCUGGACACAAACACACACACAUACUGAACACACACACACACACACACGCUAGACACACACACACACACACACACACACUGAAUACACAAACACACACUGGACACACACA